rnacentral:rRNA from 1 species
GACGAACGCUGGCGGCGUGCCUAAUACAUGCAAGUCGAACGCUGAAGGAGGAGCUUGCUUCUCUGGAUGAGUUGCGCACGGGUGAGUAACGCGUAGGUAACCUGCCUGGUAGCGGGGGAUAACUAUUGGAAACGAUAGCUAAUACCGCAUAAUAGCAGUUGUUGCAUGACAACCGUUUGAAAGGUGCAAAUGCAUCACUACCAGAUGGACCUGCGUUGUAUUAGCUAGUUGGUGGGGGAAAGGCCCACCAAAGCGACGAUACAGAGCCGGCCUGAGAGGGUGGACGGGCCAACUGGGAAUGGGACACGGCCCAAGCCCCCUCGGGGGGGCACCGUAGGGGAAUUUCGGCAAAGGGCGGAAAUCUUGCCGAGCAACGCCGCGGGAGUGGAGAAAGUUUUCGGGUCGUAAAACUCUGUUGUGUGGGGAGAACGAGUGGGAGAGUGGAAAGUUCACACUGUGACGGUAUCUUACCAGAAAGGGACGGCUAACUACGUG